CCUACGGGUGGCAGCAGUGAGGAAUAUUGGUCAAUGGCCGUAAGGCUGAACCAGCAAAGUCGCGUGAAGGAAGAAGGAUCUCUGGUUUGUAACUUUCUUUUAUAGGGGAAUAAAGGUAUCCACGCGUGGAUAAUUAGCUGUACCCAAUUACUAAGCAGCGGCUAACUACGUGCCAGCAGCCGCGGUAAUACGGAGGAUGCGAGCGUUAUCCGGAUUUAUUGGGUGUAAAGGGCGCGUAGGUUGUUUUUUAAGUCAGCGGUGAAAGCUUGUGGCUCAACCAUAAAAUUGCCGUUGAAACUGGAAGUCUUGAGUAUGUGUGAGGUAGGCGGAAUGCGUGGUGUAGCGGUGAAAUGCGUAGAUAUCACGCAGAACUCCGAUUGCGAAGGCAGCUUACUAGGCCAUAACUGACAGUGAGGCACGAAAGCGUGGGGAUCAAACAGGAUUAGAUACCCUUGUAGUC
rnacentral:rRNA from 1 species